UUGGAAUGUGUGAAGAGACGGAGGAGGAAUCAUUUUCGGACUAACAACAAGUGUGCACUACACUGAACUGCAGAAGUUGAAGGAUUUGUUAGGACCAUCCGAAGCUCUAGCGAUGAUCAGGCCAAAUAUGCGACCCUGUCCUACUGUUCCCUGCCAAGGUUGCAUGAAAAAAAUAGGAGUCAACAUGAAAAGAAAGGAACACAGUAAGUCAUGCCAGUAAAGAUGCAAUUUUUCUAAAAAUCACUACCUGAUCCUUGAAUUCUUGGAAUUUGUUUAUUCUUGCACGGAGUGAAGAAUGCCUCAUAGUGUGGAAUAUUUUGGAAGACCAUGUGCAAAGAAGGUACAGAUUAUUCUUAUUUUUUGGCAUGUUGAAAUAGAUAAAAACAUUUGUGAGAGGAUUCACGGAAAAAAAAGGUUAAAAAAGUUUUGAUUGGUAGGUUUUUUU